CCCACGCCGCCCCUUCUCUCUCUCCCCGCUCGUCUCCUCUUCCCUCGACGCCGGCUCCCCUGUCCUCGCCACCUCUCCUCCUUUUCCUCCUCUCUCUCCCGCGCCGCCGUUCUGCCCCAUCCACCCGUGCUCGACCCCGAACCUGGAUCCCAGCCCACCGGAUCGGAGGCGUCUGGGCGUGGAGGCGAGCUUUUCCGACGGCAGCGAUGACCACCAUCCAGGCCCCCUUGCUCACGGUGGAUAGGCUACGACCGAGGGGACGCAGAGGAGGAGCGGGCCUCGCAGAGGAGGGGCCGCAGCUGCGGGAGCUCUCCACGGAGGAGGAUUCCGUGGCGGUGGAGCGGAGCGUGCGGUGGCGCGGAAGUAGCAGUGGAGGCCGGAAGAGCGCGGCGCGGCAUCACGUGGCUGCGGUGGCCGAAGGGGCAGCGCGGCGUUGCUGCCUCUACCUCCAUCCUGACCUUUUUACUCGCGCGCAGGUACCAAGUCGUCUCUCUCUCUCUUGAUUUGAUCCCCAUAAAUUCUCAUCUUCACCUAUGUGGAUUUUGUUUAUCUAUGCCUGCUAUGUGUUUGAAAAAAAUCCAAGCAGUAUGAGGAGAAGAUUUUGUGGUUGAUUUAGUUUUUAGGAUCUGCCGCCCCCUUUUUUCAUUUUUGCAACAACCUGUUUCAUGAUGAGACCCAUCAAUUAUCUUUUCAUAUUUUGACAGUACUAUAUUGUUUACUUUGUGGAACUUUAGUUACCUGUAAGAUGCAAUCAACACCUUGAAAUAUUUGGUGUUUCUCGGUGCUCUGUCGUUGACCAUAAAAUCAUGAAAGUUUGUUAAUAACUUAGAAGGAUAUGAUUCCAGCAAUGUGUUUCACGCAUAUUAUGUACUAUUAGUGUGUGAACAAUAUUUUUCACGGGCUAUACUUUUCUCAGCAUGUUUCUAUCUGGUUGGUAUCCGCUGGUACCAUUCAUUGUGAGUGCUUUUAGGGGUUGCUCAACUCUCGGCUAUUUUCACCAUCUAAAUGAUUGAAUCUCCCCGUUCUCACAAUUUCUCAAAGGUUAUUGUAUUGAUACUAUGGAAUUUAUAGUGAAAAAACAAUAGGGUUCAAUUCAAUUCAUUUUGGAAACUCUAGCGGGGCCAUCCCAAAUUCCUCUCAGCUGUCAUAAUUGAAUAAAAGGGAUCGUAUAGCUUUCCAAUCCAGCAACAUACAUCUAUCACCUAGGCAUAACUGCCAACAUCAGCAAGUGCAUUUGCUCGUAAGGACCAUUCGAAGGCCAAGGCCACAGCUUACCGCGUACUGCAGCUCGGAUUGAUCUUGGGGCAUCGCCUGGGUCUACUUCUUGGAGUUGGCCUCCAUACAGGUUCGAGAUUAUUUACAGAAGACCAUGGUGUACUGCAUCAUAUCUACAUGGCAACACCGGUACAGUUACAGUGUGCUGAAUCAUAAGAGUACUACAACUCUGAAUCUUGAAAUGUUAAUAUUUACGUUCUCAUGAUUUUCUUGCAGUUUAUAGUACUUGCGAGUAUACCCCUAAAAAAUUAGUACUUGAGAGUACGACAAUCUUUUCUUUUGUUUGAUUACCUCAAGGCAAUCUCUUGAACUAAGAAGAGUUAUGUUUCCUAUGUACAGUUUGUUGCUCUCGCCCAACCAAUCAAUGCUUUAGCUUUUGUUUUUGACGGUGUCAAUUAUGGAGCAUCAGAUUUUGCAUAUGCUGCUUAUUCAUUGGCAAGUCCGCUAAUUUUCCAGCUUAUUUGUGCUCUGGCUUUCCAGCUUUCUCUUCUGACACAUUCCAUCGAAUUAUGUAUCCUCCGAUACUUGUGGCUGUUGUCAGCAUCGCUUGCAUUGUCACCCUCGCCAGUUAGAGUGAUUUCAUUGGAAUCUGGAUAGCCUUGUCCAUCUACAUGUGCCUCCUCAUGUUUGCAGGAUUAUGGAGUAUUGGGACUGCUAGCGGGCCAUGGGCUUUCCUUCGCAGCUGAACAUGUAACGUACAUUCUCGUAGAUAGUAUAAGCUGCGGCGGCUCGCUGUUUGUGUGGUGAGGGUUACUUCCCCUGGUGCAGUAAUACCAUUUUGGAGUGUCCCUUGUUUGCAACUAUAUUUAUCUACAGCCUCUGCUAACAGGGCUCCGGUUCAGAGAAAAUCAAAGGGACAAACAAACCUACCAGCCCUCAAAGAGGUCGUUCAGCCUCGAAGGAGAGGGGAACUGAUGGAUGCUAGGGAAAGAAACUAGGUGAAGCUCUGAUGCUUGAUCGAGAACCAGAUGCUUUCAAAGUUCUUCUGGUUGAGUCGUUUACUUACUAGCAAUGCCAUUCACAAUGGGAAGCCUUUAUAGCAGGCUACUUUGAUUGAUUCCCAAACUAUGGCUUAGUUACAAAUGUUUUGGCCGUGAUGUUUCAUACACCAGUCCAGUGUUGCUACCCAAUGAUGAGUUGUAUGAAGCACUUUGAAAUGCUUUGAAGAAAGUCUUUUAGGUGGCGGUUCUACUUCUGCUACUCCUGUGACAGCCAAGGCGUAGGUUGCAGCUCGCGGAAUUUUAAGGAGGAAAGGAAGACAUGAUUUCUUAUUGGUGAGUGCAUGUGAAAGUGUACUAUGCAAGCAUUAUGGGAUAAUGAUACACUGCUUAUUCGUACGUUCACACACUCUGAACAUCACAAUCAGACUAGGAAGAUGCCUAAAUAAACUAUGAGGCUGCCUAUAUACAAGUGUUUCUGUAAACCGGAUAUAAGCCAUUAUACUAUCUGUACUACUAUCUGUAAUGCAAUCCACAUUGCAUUAUAUUUCCAGCUACAUCUCCUACUAACAUUCUUUUUAACUGGCUUUUUGCGCCAUUGGCGCAACCGGGUCAUCUAGUUUUAGUAAAUGCUCAGUGCUAGCUCUCAGCCCCUACGUUCCUCAGGCAAGCUCACAUCAUUCUUUGGUCUUUCAUUCCUGAGAUUUCUUAAAACACGAGGAAAAAUAGAAACUCUGAAUUUUUUCAAAUAUCGAACAAUUUUUUGAAAGCACAGACAAUCUUUUACAAAAUGGAACACAUUAAAAAAAUUUGAAUUUUUUUGAAAAGUUUUUCAAAUUCCAAAGUAUUUUGUGAUUUGACAAAUUUUGAAAACAUGAGGAAAAUUUUAAAAUCCAAAAUAUUUUGGAAACACGGGCAUUUUCUUAAAUUGCAAUUUUUUUUGAAAAUGUGAAUAAAAGUUUGACACUCAGAACAUUUUUUGAAAAACAUGAACAAAUUUGGAAUUUCGAACAUGUUUUAAAGAGAUGAACAAUUUUUUUAAAAUGUGAAGAGAAUUUGAAAUUUUCUAUUUGUAAAGAAAGAACAAAUUUUAAAUAUGUUGAUCAUUUUUUGAACUUCGCAAAUUUUAGGAAGAAAAAGGUAACAUUAAAGAAAAGAAAAAACACACACAAAAUCGAUUCCUGAACCUUAUAGAAGGUCCCAAACCAAUUUGCGCUUUUGAAUAUUUGUUCAAAAUUCCAAAAAAUGUUUUGUUUUUCAAAAUAAUUUCAAAAAAAUGUUUGUGUCUUUCUCAGAAUGGCAAAAUACAAACAUUUUUAAAAAGAGCAACAAAAUUAUGAAUACAAACAUUUUUAAAUUUUACAAACAUUUAUUGAAAAAAACACUAACAAGUUUGGAAUUCUAAUUUUUUUUUCCAGAAAAUAGGAACAAAUUGUGGAAAGGCCAAUAACUGGCCGGAUGUGUUGUGCCUUGCAUACGGUGUCGGAAUUCUUUCAAACCUGGCAUGGAUGUGUAACAUGGGUCAGAAGGCUCCAUUUGAGAGCACAUUGUUUCUCAACAUCUCUUCCACCAGAUCUUAUUCUAACGCACUGUCACCGCCACCGCCUCGUUGAUGCCUGAAAGAAACCAAGAUUUUCCACCAUUUCCACUCGCAUCUCGGCUCCCCUUCCACCAAGAUCGACAUGUCUGAAGUCUGGGAUGUUAAGGCUUGGACCUAUCAUUGAAUAGGCGGUUUGUCACUGCCUUAUGUAAAGUCGCUUGGGUAUAAAUCAUUUCACCAAAAGUGGUUCAAAAUCAUGUUGGGAAACAAUAAAAAAUGAUCAUGAGGUGAACUAUAAGACCCUUUUUCUGCAAACUUAGUAAAUAUUAUCCUGCUAUCCAAAACUACUCAUGUCUAAAAAUUGGAUAU